rnacentral:rRNA from 1 species
AUUGAACGCUGGCGGCAGGCCUAACACAUGCAAGUCGAGCGGAUGAAGGGAGCUUGCUCCUGGAUUCAGCGGCGGACGGGUGAGUAAUGCCUAGGAACCUGCCUGGUAGUGGGGGAUAACGUCCGGAAACGGGCGCUAAUACCGCAUACGUCCUGAGGGAGAAAUUGGGGGAUCUUCGGACCUCACGCUAUCAGAUGAGCCUAGGUCGGAUUAGCUAGUUGUUGGGGUAAAGGCCUACCAAGGCGACGAUCCGUAACUGGUCUGAGAGGAUGAUCAGUCACACUGGACCUGAGACACGGUCCAGACUCCUACGGGAGGCAGCAGUGGGGAAUAUUGGACAAUGGGCGAAAGCCUGAUCCAGCCAUGCCGAGUGUGUGAAGAAGGUCUUCGGAUUGUAAAGCACUUUAAGUUGGGAGGAAGGGCAGUAAGUUAAUCCCUUGCUGUUUUGACGUUACCAACAGAAUAAGCACCGGCUAACUUCGUG